rnacentral:rRNA from 1 species
AUUGAACGCUGGCGGCAGGCCUAACACAUGCAAGUCGAACGGUAACAGGAAGCAGCUUGCUGCUUUGCUGACGAGUGGCGGACGGGUGAGUAAUGUCUGGGAAACUGCCUGAUGGAGGGGGAUAACUACUGUAAACGGUAGCUAAUACCGCAUAACGUCGCAAGACCAAAGAGGGGGACCUUCGGGCCUCUUGCCAUCGGAUGUGCCCAGAUGGGAUUAGCUAGUAGGUGGGGUAACGGCUCACCUAGGCGACGAUCCCUAGCUGGUCUGAGAGGAUGAACAGCCACACUGGAACUGAGACACGGUCCAGACUCCUACGGGAGGCAGCAGUGGGGAAUAUUGCACAAUGGGCGCAAGCCUGAUGCAGCCAUGCCGCGUGUAUGAAGAAGGCCUUCGGGUUGUAAAGUACUUUCAGCGGGGAGGAAGGGAGUAAAGUUAAUACCUUUGCUCAUUGACGUUACCCGCAGAAGAAGCACCGGCUAACUCCGUG